GCUACGGGAGGCAGCAGUGAGGAAUAUUGGUCAAUGGUCGGGAGACUGAACCAGCCAAGCCGCGUGAGGGAAGACGGUACAGAGUAUUGUAAACCUCUUUUGUCAGGGAACAAAGGCGGGGACGUGUCCCCGGAUGAGUGUACCUGAAGAAAAAGCAUCGGCUAACUCCGUGCCAGCAGCCGCGGUAAUAAGGAGGAUGACAGCGUUAUCCGGUUUUAUUGGGUUUAAGUGGGGGGCAGGCGGGUGUUUAAGUCAGCGGUCAAAGCCCGGGGCUCAACCCCGGCCCGCCGUUGAAACUGGUUUUCUUGAGUGAGCGAGAAGUAUGCGGAAUGCGUGGUGUAGCGGUGAAAUGCAUAGAUAUCACGCAGAACUCCGAUUGCGAAGGCAGCAUACCGGCGCUCAACUGACGCUCAUGCACGAAAGUGUGGGUAUCGAACAGGAUUAGAUACCCGGGUAGUC
rnacentral:rRNA from 1 species